rnacentral:rRNA from 1 species
UUAGGGUGAAAGUCGUAACAAGUAGCCGUAGGAGAACCUGCGGCUGGAUCACCUCCUUU